UGGGGAAUAUUGGACAAUGGGCGCAAGCCUGAUCCAGCAAUGCCGCGUGUGUGAAGAAGGCCUUCGGGUUGUAAAGCACUUUUAUCAGGAGCGAAACGCUGUCGGCUAAUACCCGGCGGAACUGACGGUACCUGAGGAAUAAGCACCGGCUAACUUCGUGCCAGCAGCCGCGGUAAUACGAAGGGUGCAAGCGUUAAUCGGAAUUACUGGGCGUAAAGCGUGCGUAGGCGGUUUCUUAAGUCUGCUGUGAAAUCCCCGGGCUCAACCUGGGAAUGGCAGUGGAUACUGGGAGGCUAGAGUGUGUCAGAGGGUGGUGGAAUUCCCGGUGUAGCGGUGAAAUGCGUAGAGAUCGGGAGGAACAUCAGUGGCGAAGGCGGCCACCUGGGACAACACUGACGCUGAGGCACGAAAGCGUGGGGAGCAAACAGGAUUAGAUACCCUGGUAGUCCACGCCCUAAAGCGAUGCGAACUGGAUGUUGGUCUCAACUCGGAGAUCAGUGUCGAAGCUAACGCGUUAAGUUCGCCGCCUGGGGAGUACGGUCGCAAGACUGGAAACUUAAAUGAAUUGAC
rnacentral:rRNA from 1 species